rnacentral:rRNA from 1 species
AACGAACGCUGGCGGCAUGCCUAACACAUGCAAGUCGAACGAGACCUUCGGGUCUAGUUGCGCACGUGUGCGUAACGCGUGGUAACCUGCCCUUAGGUUCGGAAUAACUCCCCGAAAGGGGUGCUAAUACCGGAUAAUGUCUUCGGACCAAAGAUUUAUCGCCUUUGGAUGGGCCCGCGUUGGAUUAGCUAGUUGGUAGGGUAAAAGCCUACCAAGGCGACGAUCCAUAGCUGGUCUGAGAGGAUGAUCAGCCACACUGGGACUGAGACACGGCCCAGACUCCUACGGGAGGCAGCAGUGGGGAAUAUUGGACAAUGGGCGAAAGCCUGAUCCAGCAAUGCCGCGUGAGUGAUGAAGGCCUUAGGGUUGUAAAGCUCUUUUACCCGGGAUGAUAAUGACAGUACCGGGAGAAUAAGCUCCGGCUAACUCCGUG